rnacentral:tRNA from 1 species
GCGGAAGUGGCUCCGUGGUAGAGCAUCGCCUUGCCAAGGCGAGGGUCGCGGGUUCGAAUCCCGUCUUCCGCUCCA